GAUGAAGAACGUAGCGAAAUGCGAUAAGUAAUGUGAAUUGCAGAAUUCAGUGAAUCAUCGAAUCUUUGAACGCACCUUGCGCCCUUUGGCUAUUCUGAAGGGCAUGCCUGUUUGAGUAUCAUGAACACCUCAACUCUCAUGGUUUGCCAUGAUGAGCUUGGACUUUGGGGGUCUUGCCGGCCUAUGGGUCGGCUCCUCUCAAAUUAAUCAGCUUGCCAGUGUUUGGUGGCAUCACAGGUGUGAUAACUAUCUACGCUUGUGGUUUUCCAUCAGGUAACCUUCAGUGAUGGAGGUUCGCUGGGGCUCAUAAAUGUCUCUCCUCAGUGAGGACAGCUUUUUUGAACGUUUGAUCUCAAAUCAGGUAGGACUACCCGCUGAACUUAAGCAUAUCAAUAAGCGGAGGA
rnacentral:misc_RNA from 1 species